AGCAGCCGCGGUAAUUCCAGCUUCAAUAGCGUAUAUUAAAGUUGUUGCAGUUAAAAAGCUCGUAGUUGAAUUUCGGGAUCAAGGAAUCGGUCAUGCCUCGGUAUGUACUGGUUUUAUUGGUUCUCACCUUCUAAAGAACCAUGAUGUCAUUCAUUUGAUGUUAUGGGGAAUUAGGACUGUUACCUUGAAAAAAUCAGAGUGUUUAAAGCAGGCUCACGCUUGAAUACAUUAGCAUGGAAUAAUGAAAUAGGACGUUCGAUCCUAUUUUGUUGGUUUUUAGGAUCAACGUAAUGAUUAAUAGGGAUAGUUGGGGGCAUUAGUAUUCAAUUGUCAGAGGUGAAAUUCUUGGAUUUAUUGAAGACUAACUACUGCGAAAGCAUUUGCCAAGGAUGUUUUCAUUAAUCAAGAACGAAAGUUAGGGGAUCGAAGACGAUCAGAUACCGUCGUAGUCUUAACCAUAAACUAUGCCGACUAGGGAUCGGAUGAUGUUAAUUUUUAAUGACUCAUUCGGCGUCCG
rnacentral:misc_RNA from 2 species